AUUGAACGCUGGCGGCAUGCCUUACACAUGCAAGUCGAACGGCAGCACGGGUGCUUGCUCUCUGAUGGCGAGUGGCGAACGGGUGAGUAAUGCAUCGGAACGUACCGUGUAAUGGGGGAUAACGUAGCGAAAGUUACGCUAAUACCGCAUACGACCUGAGGGUGAAAGCAGGGGAUCGCAAGACCUUGCGUUAUACGAGCGGCCGAUGUCAGAUUAGCUAGUUGGUGAGGUAAAGGCUCACCAAGGCGACGAUCUGUAGCGGGUCUGAGAGGAUGAUCCGCCACACUGGGACUGAGACACGGCCCAGACUCCUACGGGAGGCAGCAGUGGGGAAUUUUGGACAAUGGGGGCAACCCUGAUCCAGCCAUGCCGCGUGAGUGAAGAAGGCCUUCGGGUUGUAAAGCUCUUUCGGCCGGGAAGAAAUCGCACAGGCUAAUACUCUGUGUGGAUGACGGUACCGGCAUAAGAAGCACCGGCUAACUACGUGCCAGCAGCCGCGGUAA
rnacentral:rRNA from 1 species